GCUUUUUUCACAACAAGAACAAAGAGAAUGAAAUCGUUUGAACUCAAGAUAUAUUGGGAUAUCCAACAGUCAAAGUAUUUCUUGGAAUUCAAACAUCCGUAGUGUUCGAGAAUUUGAGAACAAAAAAGACACGAAACCUAAUUAUCGUCGGUAGUUACACUUUUCCGUCACCUGAUGAAUAAAUUAACAAAAUAUAAGAAGAGGACAGUGAUAUUUUGAAUGUAACGAACAGGAGACAGCAACAAGAAACAACAACUAGCUAAAAGACAGAGCGAUAAACACUGCUCAACAAGUAACGGAUGUCUAAACCGCACGUUAUGGUAAUCUCUCGAGUUUCAAAAACUUUGAUUUAUCAGCCGUGUUAGACAUCGGAGACGAAAGGAAGUUGUUUGUCACUUAGAUAAAGUAAAUUGGUGUCAUAGAAUUUGCUUGAAACAUAAUGGCUUCGUCCAUCAGGAAAGCACAGUCGCCAUUGUCUUGUCAGCUUUGUGACCAUCCUAAUGUUAUAAAAUGGAAGUGUAAGGAUUGCGCAAUAUUAAUGUGUGACAACUGUAAAGAACGUGUCCAUCCCAGAUUUAAAUUGUCCGAAACACAUACUAUAAUUUUCAUAACAGAUAUUGGAAAGAAGGAAAGUGAUAUUUCUGCUCAGAUUUCCCGAACAGUAAUAUCGUCACUACUAUCUACAUAUGCGUCAGAUUUUGCUGCUUUCAAUAAAAUCCAAUAUUCUGGCAAUGACACAAUUUACUGCUCGUACAAUACAAAUGAGAACGGAUACAAGUUUUUAAUUAUUCGGUUAUUGAAGGAAUCAAUAAAAGUAUUACAGGAAUUAGAUAUAGAAUGUUCUGAUUUUGCACUCGGCAGUAAAGAUGAAAUAUACUAUGGACAGUUCCGUGCUUCUGAGUUAAAAGUUUUAUCAAUUGGUGGUAUAACAAAUACAGUUUUUAGCACUUCACCGAUGAUUAUAUUGGGCCUACAUAUCAAUAAUGACAACGAAAUAAUUCUAGGUCUUCGAGAACAAGGACCACCAUUUCCGGUCACAGAAUUCUGUACCAGACAAAUUGCUGUAUUCGACGAAAACAACAAACGAAAAUUAACGAUUGAAUACGAUCAAAAGGGUAAAAAAACUGUUUAGUUAUAUCGAUAGAAUAUCCACUGAUUCAUAUUAUAACAUCUAUGCAAUUGAUCUAUUUGAAAAUGUAGAAGGACGUUUAGUCGCGUUAGAAAGAUCUGGUGGUAUAAAAUUCAUAUACAAUGGUCAUAAAAGUAUCAAUACACCACAAACACCGUUCAAUCCAAAUGGUAUUGUUAUCACAAAAACAAAUACCAUAAUAGUCUCCGAUAAAAAUAACCACUCUCUACAUGCAUUGAAUACAGAGGGAGAGCUGAUUGGCUUACAAACUGUAACAUAUCUUGGAAUAAAACGUCCGUUGAGUCUGUGCAUGGAUAGUGAAGGAUUUCUAUUGAUUGGAUGCAACUCUAGCUCCAUCGAAGCAGGUGAUGCCAAAAUUCACGUCGUUAAAAUAUAAUUGAGAUUUAUUUCUAUAAGAAAUAACAUUUAUUUUACUCCUUAUGUAAUAUAGUGUUCAAUUUU